CCUACGGGAGGCAGCAGUGAGGAAUAUUGGUCAAUGGACGAGAGUCUGAACCAGCCAAGUAGCGUGAAGGAUGACUGCCCUAUGGGUUGUAAACUUCUUUUAUAAAGGAAUAAAACGAGGCACGUGUGCCUUUUUGUAUGUACUUUAUGAAUAAGGAUCGGCUAACUCCGUGCCAGCAGCCGCGGUAAUACGGAGGAUCCGAGCGUUAUCCGGAUUUAUUGGGUUUAAAGGGAGCGUAGAUGGGUUGUUAAGUCAGUUGUGAAAGUUUGCGGCUCAACCGUAAAAUUGCAAUUGAUACUGGCAGUCUUGAGUACAGUUGAGGUAAGCGGAAUUCGUGGUGUAGCGGUGAAAUGCUUAGAUAUCACGAAGAACCCCGAUUGCGAAGGCAGCUUACUAAACUGUGACUGACACUGAUGCUCGAAAGUGUGGGUAUCAAACAGGAUUAGAUACCCUAGUAGUC
rnacentral:rRNA from 1 species